AGUUAGGAAUCUUUUGCAAUGCGCGCAAGCGUGACAAAUUGAGCCAGAGUGCUUUCCAAACAGGAAGGCUUUUGUGAAAUGUAAAAAGUUUCACGAAUAAGGACUGGGUAAGACUAGUGCCAGCCGCCGCGGUAAUACUAGCGGUCCAAGUCGCAGCCAUUUUUAUUGGGUCUAAAACAUCCGUAGCUUGCUUGAUAAGUUUCUUGUGAAAUUUUAUGUCUUAAACAUAAAGCGAGCAGGAAAUACUACCAAGCUAGAGACUGGAAGACAUGAGAAGUAUGUUCAAAGUAGCGGUAAAAUGUUUUAAUCUUGAACAGACUCACAAUAGCGAAGGCAUCUCAUGAGGACAGUUCUGACAGUGAGGGAUGAAGGCUAGGGUCGCGAAACAGAUUAGAUACCUGUGUAGUCCUAGCAGUAAACACUGCACACUAAACAUCAGUACCUCUUCGGGAGGUAUUGGUGCUGAAGGGAAGCCGAAGAGUGUGCUACCUGGGAAGUAUAGUCGCAAGGCCGAAACUUAAAGGAAUUGGCGGGGAGAUACUACAACGGGUGACGCGUGCGGUUCAAUUAGAUUAUACACCGUGAACCUUACCAGGACCGACAGCAGAAUGAAGGUCAGUCUGAAGGGCUUACCUGACACGCUGAGAGGAGUUGCAUGGCCGACGUCAGCCUGUGCCGUGAGGUGACCUGUUAAAUCAGGUAACAGGCAAGACCCACAUGUAUAUUUACUAAGUGUACAAUAUACAGAUUGCCUUGGCAACAAGGAUGAAAGUGUGGGCUACGUUAGGUGGGUACAGCCCGACCGCCCUGGGCAACACGCGCGCGUCAAUGGUGGAUACAAUGAGAUGCGACUCUGAAAAGAGAAGCUAAUCCCAUAAAAUUCAUCUUAGUUCAGAUUGAAGUUUGCAACCCAGCUUCAUGACGAUGGAAUCCGUAGUAAUCGUUUGUUAUCAACGAACGGUGAAUAUGU
rnacentral:rRNA from 1 species